UACGAAGGGGGCUAGCGUUGUUCGGAUUUACUGGGCGUAAAGCGCACGUAGGCGGAUCGUUAAGUCGGGGGUGAAAUCCUGGAGCUCAACUCCAGAACUGCCUUCGAUACUGGCGAUCUUGAGUCCGGAAGAGGUGAGUGGAAUUCCUAGUGUAGAGGUGGAAUUCGUAGAUAUUAGGAAGAACACCAGUGGCGAAGGCGGCUCACUGGUCCGGUACUGACGCUGAGGUGCGAAAGCGUGGGGAGCGAUCCGG
rnacentral:rRNA from 1 species